UACGGGGGGGGUAAGCGUUGUUCGGAAUUACUGGGCGUAAAGGGCUCGUAGGCGGCCAACUAAGUCAUACGUGAAAUCCCUCAGCUUAACUGGGGAACUGCGUGUGAUACUGGAUGGCUUGGAUUUGGGAGAGGGAUGCGGAAUUCCAGGUGUAGCGGUGAAAUUCGUAGAUAUCGGGAGGAACACCGGUGGCGAAGGCGGCGACCUGGGUCGACACUGACGCUGAGGCGCGAAAGCGUGGGGAGCAAACAGG
rnacentral:rRNA from 1 species